AACCCUGGAGCAUGCCCAACCGGCGAAUCCGACCCCCUCCUCCGCCGCCUCCUCCCCAUCUCACUCAUGCCCCACCUCCUCUCCCUCCGUGGACACAAGGGCUGGAAGAUCUAAAAUUUGGGGGAAGUAAGAGAUCUUGCAAGAAACAGGAACCACCAAGAAUUGUCCUAGAGCCAGGUGGAAUCACAAGAUGAAGUCUUAUCUUAUUGAGCUCUUAAAAGAACAUGAUACUCCAAGAUAUCAAACACAAAAUGCAUGGAGCAAAGAGGAUUGGAAAAGUAUCGUGUAUGCAUUCAAUUUGAAAUUUUGUUUGUCGUUUGCAUCAGUUCAGAUCAAACAAAAGGAGCGGGAUAUGAAGAAAGAUUUUAAAGUUAUAAAAGACUUGCUAUCUGAAAGUGGUUUUGGUUGGGAUCCUGAUAGAAUGAUGGUGGUUGCUCCAGAUGAUGUUUGGGCCGGAUUACGGGCACGCAAAAACAAAGACGCCCUCCAAUGGCAAGACAAGUCAUUCCCAUAUUACGAUGAUCUCUUUGCUCUAUAUGAUGGACGUUAUGCUCAAGGAAGGAGUUGUCGUGGCAUGGAUUUAUAUGCGAAGAAAGCAAUACAACCCUCACAGGCUUCUGCAUCAUAUUCGCAGCAACUGCAAGAUCCCGAGGAGAAUUUGCACUCACCUACGCCAGACCUACCUGCUGCGGGUGGAUCAUCCAUGAACUUUGGUCCAGAAGAAGAAAUUGGGAGCACUAAUUGGUUCUCCAGCAAUGAUCCAUUGGACCAAGCGACAACAAACUC